CCUUCCAUGUUUAUUUGCCUCUAUACCAACAAUCCCUCUGCUUGGAAUGUCCUUUUUUUCCUGGUUAAUUCUUACCUUUCUCUCCACGAUGCCUCAAAGUCAAUGAUCCAGUAGAGCCUUCUCAGCUGUCCUGGGCAGAGCUUCAGUGAGCACAGUCUGCCCCAACCUCUCCAUUUCCAUACCUGGAAGGGCAUGUGCUACCUGGUUGUGAACGUGUUCUGUCUUUCACAUGCCCAUCAGUUAGCAUCAUGCCUGUCUCUUCUACUCAUAAAGGUUAGCUGGGGAAAGGAGGAGUAAGACAUUAAACUAGUGAGUGGAUGGAGUAAGUGGAUACAAUUGAAGUAAACCUGAGACCUUUCGUUCUGAAGUUAUGUGAACUCUGAGUGGGUUGGUGACAAUGCAAUGAUGAGGCACAGUUACAGGUAAUAUGUUCUUUAGCAGAUGAUUAACUUAUUAUGAAAAGCGUCAGGCUCCUAUAAAUAAAACCAGUCAAUACAUGGUCCUAACUCAGACCUUUUGGCUCUGGAUGGCUCCCCUCUACUAGGCUUUCUCUGGCUACUCUGUUGUGGUUCUCUGACAUUAUAACCAAAAGCGACAUUUUAAUUCUGCAGGUGAAAGGGAGCAAGGCCAGGUUUCUGCAAGAGCAGUUUUGUCAGCUCAAUCUAGAAAGUCAGUUGAGCAAAGCAGGAGUUAUUGUUGCUUUAAUCUGUCCUACUUGCCCUGGAAAGGCUCUGUUGGGUUUUCAAAAUGAAUGAUUCAGAUGCUUCUGAUUGUUUACAUUUGUUUGGGAAAGAUUGAGAUUUCAGGAUGUAAUUUGAUAUGUACCUUUCCCCCAGUACCCCAGCCUCUCUUUUCCUGUUCUUUGUUACGUGUUCAGUGACAUGAAACCAGGUGGCACUUGACACUCUGAAUAGCUCUAAGCCAGCCAUUGUCAGUUCCAAAGUCAAUCAUUUGCCUGAGGUCAGGAAGGAAAACUGGGCUGUGACUUCAUUUCCUAGGGCUUCAGACUUAAGGUUUUCCUCUGCUCUCCCUACACUAGUUUCUUAGCACAUUUUGCUGUUGUUGUUAAGUUUAGAAUGGGACAUGUAUAUGUCUCAAGUACAAACAAUGAAUUUAGGAAGGCUUGUAGAUAAGGGGACUGCUUGAUGCUGAUGUCCUGAAUGUAAAAUUGGCCUCUUUAUUCUGAAUAUUUGUUUUCAGCCUGUGCCAGUGGAGCUCCCUGACUACUUAGGCUGAUUCAUUCUGCCUCCAACAGGAGCCGUUUCAAUAUUUGCAGUACAGUUCUCCUCAGUGAAUUCAAUUGAAUGAACAGUUGAAUAAAUAGUAAAAGAAUCCAUUUCUGUGGAAGGAACAGUAACAUUCAAUAAUAUCUUUUUCAGGGUGGUAACCUUUUUGACUUUUAAAUAUUAGAGAAUCUUAACAAGGUGCAGCUGGUGAAUGAAUGCUUUUUUGAUAAUUGAAUAUUUUUUCUCAGAUGCAAAGCUCUAGAUUUAACAGCUGUCCAGUUAAGAGUCAAAGCUAUAUUCAGUUAUGUAAACACUGACCUUUUCUUAUCCAAGUUCCCCUUGAUUUUGUUGAUACAUGUCUCAGCCUCUUCUUUACUAUGGCCUAUCCAAAUCUUAAACACAUUUUUGUUACUAGCAAUGAAGCUAGAGUUGGACACAAUGGGGCCAGAAUGAGAAUAAUAAGGAUCUUUUUAUUUGGUGAUAACAGAUUACUAUUGGGUGAUAUUUUUCAAGGGCCCAUACUCAUGCUAAAAUGAAUUUUGGGAAAUGUAGUGAUGGAAUAGAAAGAUCUCAGUACCAGUCCUUUCUUGGCCAUUAAAUCUACCAUGUGACUUGAGAACAACCUAUUACCAUCUCUGGGCCUCAGUUUCUUCAUCAUAAUAUAAUGAAGAAUGUAUAAUGUAAUGUUUUCAUUAUAAUGAACAGUUGAAUAAAUAGUAAUAGGAUAAAUAGUAAAAUUAUAAUGAAAACAUUGGAUUAGAUCACUGAUGUUCAACUGUGUUCCUAAAGGCACCAAAUCUUUUCAGGAGAUAUGAAGACAUGGCUCAUUUACUCUGUGUCUUUUCAGUUGUAUAAGUUUCUUUAAGAGUUGGUAUAAAACUUGGCCAUAAUUUUACUUUAUAACCAAUAGGUUUGAAUUUUAUCACUAUGUAUAAUAUGUAUCACACAACCCAUCCAAACCCAUCCCCACUCUCAACCUAGUCUUCCUGAUUUGUCUUCUCCCAUCCAAGGACAAACUAAAGAACUCUCUUCUCUCUUACCUUUAUUAUUACCAACUCUUGUAAAUUGUUUCUUUUCUCUGAAUGUCACUGAAAUAAAGUGUCUUCUAAUCCAUAAUUUUAUUUUCUCUCUGUGAUACUCCAGGUUCAGUAAGUCAACUGCAAGUUUUCAUGAGAGCAUGACAGGGGCAGCCUCUUAAUUACCUUCCCACCUCCCCUUUGGCACAAAUUAUUGGAUCCACUGGCUAUGUUCUCAUCUAAAGCUGGUGAUUCACAGUUGGUCUAAAUAAAUCGUGGAAAUCCUGAACCUUUUUCUCAGGUUCCCUACAGCCGAACUUGAUCCUAUGAAAUGUCCUAGGCUGGCCAGUGAUAUUUAAGCCAGUGGAAGUCUAGAGAGAAUAUAAAGGGAAAAAACACUUUUAUUCUUUUGGGGAAAGCUGCCCUUUUUCCUUUGUCUUCUUUUUGCCUUGACAACAGGUAGGAUACCUGGAAUUACAGCAGCCAUGUGGCAACUAAUGGCAACCAAGACGAGGAAAAGACCAAGAUAAACUCAGAGAAUUGGGGCCCUGACUUUGUUCAAUGACAAAAUCAAUGACAUCAACUUACUUUUGGAGUUUUGCUUGGUUGAGAAAAUUUUAACUAAUGGUUAGAAUUUCACAUUCACUUGCACAUUAACAAAUACUUAUGAGGUACCUAUAAUAUCCCAUACACAGAGCAUGAAAUACAUUGGGAAACAAAGCACAAAAACUUCUUAUCCUCAUAGUUUACAUUCUAGUAGGGAAAAGAGACAGAAAGCUAUCAAUACCCAUAAUAAAGAAGAAAGUUAUAUACAAUAUUAGAAAAUGCUAAGUGUUAUGGAGAAAAGAAAGAGCAGGACAUGUGGACUUGGAAGUGAAAAUGAUCAGGACAUUAUGAGGCCUUCCUGGGACAGACUAUCCCCUGUUUCCUCUGCUUUAGCUCCUCUCUGAAGUACCUAGAUAAAAGUAUCUGAUGCUCAUUUCCUGAGUCGUUUCACUGAUGUGAAAACACCCAACAAAUGGAAGAUGUUAACUACUCAGUGACCAUAAGCAUGUAACCCCCAGAACUACUGGAGCCUAAGUACUGAUAAUGUUAACCCUGUAACAUUGCCCUGUGAUAUUUACCAUCAACCAGUCAGAAGGUUGUGCAUGGGCUGAUGAGCUGAUCACAUACCCUGUGAAUCCCCUGCCUCACCUGACCUUUAAAAAUGCUUCCCUGAAACCCUCCAGGGCUUUUUUCUUUUCCUACAAGCUGCCCAGGACUCCUUGUUUGGAGUCUUACAAUAAAAGCUGCACUAGCCCUCAGCACAACCUGGUGCGCUCACCAUAACCUUCUGUCAGUAGAUUGGCUUUACUGUACUUGGGUGAUGAAUCUAAGUUUGGUUUGGAACAAAUGUUCAGAUUAAAGGGUUAGAUAUGGUUGCUAAUAGGAUAGUAGGAAUGUGUUUGAGAAAGUGACAUUUGAGAAACAACUUGAAGGAGGGAGAGAUUUGGUCUUAUGGUUAUCUCCAGGAAGAGAAGUUCAGACACUGGGUGCAACCAGUGCAAAAGUUCUAAGCCAGGAGCAAGUCCAGUCUACCCCAAGAACCACAGGGAGACUACAUGUGACUGGAGGGAAGUGAGCAAGGGAGAGGUGUCUGAAUGUGUAUGGCAGAUGGUGCAGAAUUUUGAGGUCAUUAUAAGGAUGUCACUUUUUUUUUCCUCCUGAGUGAAAGUGAGUAGCUGUUUGAAGAUGUUGUACAGAAUGAUAAUAUGGCCCGACUUUCAUUUAACAAGAUUAUCUGACCUGUUCUGUUAAAAAGCAGAUGUAGGGAAAAGCAAAGGUAGAACAAGGGAGAAGGAUUAGGAGUCCUUUAUAGUAAU
rnacentral:lncRNA from 1 species